rnacentral:rRNA from 1 species
ACGGGAGGCAGCAGUGGGGAAUAUUGCACAAUGGGGGAAACCCUGAUGCAGCGACGCCGCGUGAGCGAUGAAGUAUUUCGGUAUGUAAAGCUCUAUCAGCAGGGAAGAUAAUGACGGUACCUGACUAAGAAGCUCCGGCUAAAUACGUGCCAGCAGCCGCGGUAAUACGUAUGGAGCAAGCGUUAUCCGGAUUUACUGGGUGUAAAGGGAGCGCAGGCGGUCUGGCAAGUCUGAUGUGAAAACCCGGGGCUCAACCCCGGGACUGCAUUGGAAACUGUCAGACUAGAGUGUCGGAGGGGUAAGUGGAAUUCCUAGUGUAGCGGUGAAAUGCGUAGAUAUUAGGAGGAACACCGGUGGCGAAGGCGGCUUACUGGACGACAACUGACGCUGAGGCUCGAAAGCGUGGGGAGCAAACAGGAUUAGAUACCCUGGUA